rnacentral:rRNA from 1 species
AUACGAAGGGGGCUAGCGUUGUUCGGAAUUACUGGGCGUAAAGCGCGCGUAGGCGGAUACUUAAGUCAGGGGUGAAAUCCCGAGGCUCAACCUCGGAACUGCCCUUGAUACUGGGUAUCUUGAGUUCGAGAGAGGUAAGUGGAAUUCCGAGUGUAGAGGUGAAAUUCGUAGAUAUUCGGAGGAACACCAGAGGCGAAGGCGGCUUACUGGCUCGAUACUGACGCUGAGGCGCGAAAGCGUGGGGAGCAAACAGGAUUAGAUACCCCGGUAGUCC